UCAGCUCUCUCUUUUCUUUCUUUCAUUUUCUUUCUUUUCUCUUUACUUAAACACACACACACACACACACUCACUUCCACACUCACCCGCCGGCCUCCACUCCAAACCACACCAUCUCACCAUCAUUUUUCCGGCAAGAUCACCGGAAAAAUACUUAGGAACCUCACAGCAUCUUCAUCAUUUUAUUUGAGGUUCUAGCUAAUCUCCUUGGAGCUUGGAGAAUUAGGAUUUUGCGAUUGCGAGGUCAGUGCCCUUUCACUUUGGAUGACGCGUUCUUCCCUGCUGUCCAUGGGGGAAAGAGGUUCCUUGAUUGUGUAUGGGUGAGGCUACUGUCCAUGGGGCCAAGAGACCACAUGCAACAGAGGUCCUAUUUGACGCGCUCUCUCUGCUGCCCAUGGGGGGAGAGAAAAACUUUGAAGGUAUAGGUGAGGUUGCUGUCCAUGGGGCCAAGAGUCUGCAUACUAGAGAGGACAAUAUCAUGCCAGUUGUGAAUGGGUGGAUCCCCUAACCGGUUUAUGUGGUAGUAUGGUAUAUUUAUGAUAAAUUACCGUAUGUUAGAUUUUAUGGCUUUGGAAAUUAUAUGGUUAGUGCUCACAGAUUAUAGUAUAUAGUUUCAAGGUAUUUACUUUGAGAAACUUUGUGUUUCAUUAUUAAAUCAUUCUUGUUAUAUUAUUAUUAUUAUUAUUAUUGAA